AACGAACGCUGGCGGCAGGCUUAACACAUGCAAGUCGAGCGCCCCGCAAGGGGAGCGGCAGACGGGUGAGUAACGCGUGGGAAUCUACCCAUCUCUACGGAAUAACGCAUGGAAACGUGUGCUAAUACCGUAUACGUCCUUCGGGAGAAUGAUUUAUCGGAGAUGGAUGAGCCCGCGUUGGAUUAGCUAGUUGGUGGGGUAAAGGCCUACCAAGGCGACGAUCCAUAGCUGGUCUGAGAGGAUGAUCAGCCACACUGGGACUGAGACACGGCCCAGACUCCUACGGGAGGCAGCAGUGGGGAAUAUUGGACAAUGGGCGCAAGCCUGAUCCAGCCAUACCGCGUGAGUGAUGAAGGCCCUAGGGUUGUAAAGCUCUUUCACCGGUGAAGAUAAUGACGGUAGCCGGAGAAGAAGCCCCGGCUAACUUCGUGCCAGCCGCCGCGGUAAGAC
rnacentral:rRNA from 1 species